GAUUAGGAUGCAUUUUACUGCCUUUGAUUUUGUUGCCCCAGCAAUGUAAUAGGCUCAGCACAUGGCCUGGGGUGCCAAAUUUAAGAUAAAGAGGAAUUUUUUGUGCACCGCGGGGGGUGCAGAACUGCAUGCAUCACCCAUGAUGAUUAGUUCACACACAGGGCUGGAGUGCGAUGUCCCAAAAAUUUUUUUUUCGUUGGCCCCGUGUGGGAACUAAUUAUCAUGGACGGUGCGUCCGGUUCUGCACUGCCUAUGGUGCACAAAGAAUUUCACUUUAAAAUAAACAUUUUGGUUAAGGCUAAGGAUGCAAGUGGGCUCAUUACACACCAAAGAUAUCCGAUUCUUCUUAUAAGAUGGACCUGAUAAGGCAGCUCAGACAAUGGAGUCAAUUUGGGCCU
rnacentral:lncRNA from 1 species